GGGGUCGCCCUGAAUACUUUAGAAUGCGCCCCUCUCCCACCCCACCCACGAUGAAUUCAUUUAGGGCCAGAGAGAUGAAGUGACUAAUUGAAGGUCACACAGUAUCCAGGAUGGAUUCCAGACCAUCUGAUAAACUUAUUGACCUGCACUAUCUUGUGGAUAUGUGAAUGAAUUCCACACCUCCCAUUUUACAGAUGAAGCCACUGAGAUACAGAGUAACUGACUAAAUAGUCACCACCCCACCCCUGGAGCCUCACAUGACUCUUCCAGAUUGGUUAAAGGGUUUAACAAGGUUGGGAAGGUGGUCUCAGCCUCUCUGACCACUUCAGUUACCGUCUGCACGUGGAUGAUGCCCAGAUCUCUCUCCAGACCAGACAAUCCAAUUGUUCACAUGGACAACUUCACUGGGACGUUUUGAAGACUCAGCAGAAUGCAGCUCCUGCUCUGCCCCUCUUGCUUCUCCUCCAGUGUCCUGUCACUUGAUGACAUGUGGUCUUAUCACUGUAAUGUGGUAGUUGAGGCUGUGACUCUGGAGCUAGCCUGAUGGGGACUGAAUUCUGACUCAGCCACUUAUUAUGUGACCUUGGAAAUGAACAAAACUACGGGAGGUCUAGGAAUGGUGAAGUGGCACCUGUGCUUCGAAUGCUCAGAUUAUGUGAAAGGAAUUGAAGCAGACACUGUGCGAGGGGAAGUCUCAGUCCCUCCUUAAGGAGCCUUUCUUGGACCAUGUUUCAGGCUGCUCCACGUAGCAUGUGGGAUCUUAGUUUCUAGACCAGGGAUCGAACCCGCACCCCCUUCAUUGGAAGCAUGGAUCACUGGACCAUCAAGGAAGUCCCAGCAAAUCUGUUUAAUGAAUAGCCUAAUAGAAGACAGCUGGAUUCUCAUGCCUGCUUUUGUAUUCAGUGAUAUAUUGCUUUCCUUGAAGUAGAUGAAUGAAAGUGAACUUCAUACAGAUUUGUAUUUGGAAAAAGUAAAAGUAUUUUAAGAGCCUUUUCAGAUAAUUGUGGAUAUCUUUUUAUUCAAAGUCAUAAUAUUUUGAUAAAGACAUUUAUUUACAUAGCAGUAAAAAUUAUAUAUUAUACAUCGUGUGUGUGUGGGCUCAGUCACUAACUCAUGUCCGACUCUUUUGUGGACCCCUGGACUGUAGUCUGCCAGGUUCCUCUGCCCAUGUAAUUUUCCAGGCAAGAAUACUGGAGUGGGUUGCCAUUUCCUACUCCUUGGAUAUCUUUUUUGAUA